ACGGAAGGCAGCAGUGGGGGAUAUUGCACAAUGGGGGAAACCCUGAUGCAGCGACGCCGCGUGAGUGAUGAAGUAUUUCGGUAUGUAAAGCUCUAUCAGCAGGGAAGAAAAUGACGGUACCUGACUAAGAAGCUCCGGCUAAAUACGUGCCAGCAGCCGCGGUAAUACGUAUGGAGCAAGCGUUAUCCGGAUUUACUGGGUGUAAAGGGAGCGUAGACGGUUUGCCAAGUCUGAUGUGAAAGCUUGGGGCUCAACCCCGAAACUGCAUUGGAAACUGGUAGACUAGAGUGUCGGAGAGGUAAGUGGAAUUCCUAGUGUAGCGGUGAAAUGCGUAGAUAUUAGGAGGAACACCAGUGGCGAAGGCGGCUUACUGGACGAUAACUGACGUUGAGGCUCGAAAGCGUGGGUAGCAAACAGGAUUAGAUACCCUGGUA
rnacentral:rRNA from 1 species